GCUUCCGUGGAUUAGUGGUUAUAUCGUCUCCUUCAUUUGAAACUUUCCGCAAUCACUUAUGGAGGAAUCGCGAGGUCGAUCCUCACCGGAAGCA